ACUUAAGUAGUUUAAGUAAAAUACUGGUUUGUGGUGCCGGUGAUGUAAAUUUUACCUUAGGUA
rnacentral:tRNA from 1 species